GCCUGUACUGGGAGGCGGCCCGCCGCCUCGGGGUCUCCCCCCAGGAGGUCGCGGUGGUCGAAGACACCGUGGCCGGCGUCCGAGCCGCCCGCGCGGGCG
rnacentral:tRNA from 1 species